rnacentral:misc_RNA from 1 species
GAUGAAGAACGUAGCGAAAUGCGAUAAGUAAUGUGAAUUGCAGAAUUCAGUGAAUCAUCGAAUCUUUGAACGCACAUUGCGCCCAUUAGUAUUCUAGUGGGCAUGCCUGUUCGAGCGUCAUUAAUUCCACUUAAGCCCUGCUUAGUGUUGGGAAUCUACUCUAGUGGUGCUAACCUGGAGCUACCCCUGAAAGGGGGCUGGCCCGGUAGCUACCCUGUAGUUCCUCAAAGAUAGUGCGCGGAGUUGCGUGGUCCUCUGAGCUUAGUAACUAUACACCUAGCUUUUGAGUGUCCCGCGGCGCCUGCCGUUUAAACCCCAUCUUUUAAUGGUUGACCUCGGAUCAGGUAGGAAUACCCGCUGAACUUAAGCAUAUCAAUAAGCGGAGGA